GGGCUGCUCCUAGUACGAGAGGACCGGAGUGGACGUUCCUCUGGUGUACCGGUUAUCACGCCAGUGGUAUUGCCGGGUAGCUAAGAACGGAAGAGAUAAGCGCUGAAAGCAUCUAAGCGCGAAACUUGCCUCAAGAUGAGACUUCCCGGGGGUUUAACCCCCCUAAAGGUUCGUCGAAGACUACGACGUUGAUAGGUCGGGUGUGGAAGCGCAGUAAUGCGUUAAGCUAACCGAUACUAAUUGACCGUGCGGCUUGAUCCU
rnacentral:rRNA from 1 species